rnacentral:rRNA from 1 species
GACGAACGCUGGCGGCGUGCUUAACACAUGCAAGUCGAACGGAAAGGCCCUGCUUUUGUGGGGUGCUCGAGUGGCGAACGGGUGAGUAACACGUGAGUAUCCUGCCCUUGACUUUGGGAUAACUUCAGGAAACUGGGGCUAAUACCGGAUAGGAGCUCCUGCUGCAUGGUGGGGGUUGGAAAGUUUCGGCGGUUGGGGAUGGACUCGCGGCUUAUCAGCUUGUUGGUGGGGUAGUGGCUUCCCAAGGGUUUGACGGGUAGCCGGCCUGAGAGGGUGACCGGCCACAAUGGGACUGAGAUACGGACCAGACGCCUACGGGAGGCAGCAGUGGGGAAUAUUGCACAAUGGGCGGAAGCCUGAUGCAGCAACGUCGCGUGCGGGAUGACGGCCUUCGGGUUGUAAACCGCUUUCGCCUGUGACGAAGCGUGAGUGACGGUAAUGGGUAAAGAAGCACCGGCUAACUACGUG